AGACAGCAGUCGCCGCGGGAAUACGAAGGGUGCAAGCGUUACUCGGAAUUACUGGGCGUAAAGCGUGCGUAGGUGGUGGUUUAAGUCCGUUGUGAAAGCCCUGGGCUCAACCUGGGAAUUGCAGUGGAUACUGGGUCACUAGAGUGUGGUAGAGGAUAGUGGAAUUUCCGGUGUAGCAGUGAAAUGCGUAGAGAUCGGAAGGAACAUCUGUGGCGAAGGCGACUAUCUGGGCCAACACUGACACUGAGGCACGAAAGCGUGGGGAGCAAACAGGAUUAGAUACCCCUGUAGUCCCUGUCUCUUAUAC
rnacentral:rRNA from 1 species